AACGAACGUUGGCGGCGUGCUUAACACAUGCAAGUCGAGCGCGAAUCCUUGCUUCGGCGAGGUAGUAGAGCGGCGAACGGGUGAGUAACACGUGGGUAACUUGCCUCUAAGUCUGGGAUAACUACCCGAAAGGGUUGCUAAUACUGGAUAAGACCACGGCGUCUCUGGAUGCUGUGAGAAAAGGCUUCGGUCGCUUAGAGAUAGGCUCGCGUCCCAUUAGCUAGUUGGUGAGGUAAUGGCUCACCAAGGCUUCGAUGGGUAGCUGGUUUUAGAGGAUGAUCAGCCACACUGGAACUGAGACACGGUCCAGACUCCUACGGGAGGCAGCAGUGGGGAAUCUUGCGCAAUGGGCGAAAGCCUGACGCAGCAACGCCGCGUGAGUGAUGAAGGCCCUCGGGUCGUAAAGCUCUGUCCUGGGAGAAGAAUUUUGACGGUAUCCCAGAAGAAAGCACCGGCUAACUCCGUG
rnacentral:rRNA from 1 species